rnacentral:rRNA from 1 species
CCUACGGGAGGCUGCAGUGGGGAAUAUUGGACAAUGGGCGAAAGCCUGAUCCAGCCAUGCCGCGUGUGUGAAGAAGGCCUUCGGGUUGUAAAGCACUUUCAGUGGGGAAGAAAGCCUUGGGGCUAAUACCCUCGAGGAAGGACAUCACCCACAGAAGAAGCACCGGCUAACUCCGUGCCAGCAGCCGCGGUAAUACGGAGGGUGCGAGCGUUAAUCGGAAUUACUGGGCGUAAAGCGCGCGUAGGCGGUCUGAUAAGCCGGUUGUGAAAGCCCCGGGCUCAACCUGGGAACGGCAUCCGGAACUGUCAGGCUAGAGUGCAGGAGAGGAAGGUAGAAUUCCCGGUGUAGCGGUGAAAUGCGUAGAGAUCGGGAGGAAUACCAGUGGCGAAGGCGGCCUUCUGGACUGACACUGACGCUGAGGUGCGAAAGCGUGGGUAGCAAACAGGAUUAGAUACCGUGUAGU